CCUACGGGUGGCUGCAGUGGGGAAUAUUGCACAAUGGGGGAAACCCUGAUGCAGCGACGCCGCGUGAGUGAAGAAGCGUUUCGGCGCGUAAAGCUCUGUCAGCGGGGAAGAAACACGGUUCGCGAGAGCCGCGGACGGUACCCGACCAAGAAGCCCCGGCUAACUACGUGCCAGCAGCCGCGGUAAUACGUAGGGAGCAAGCGUUAUCCGGAUUUACUGGGUGUAAAGGGCGUGUAGGCGGGCAUGCAAGCCAGAAGUGAAAUCUGGGGGCUUAACCCCCAAACUGCUUUUGGAACUGCGUGUCUUGAGUGAUGGAGAGGCAGGCGGAAUUCCCAGUGUAGCGGUGAAAUGCGUAGAUAUUGGGAGGAACACCAGUGGCGAAGGCGGCCUGCUGGACAUUAACUGACGCUGAGGCGCGAAAGCGUGGGGAGCAAACAGGAUUAGAUACCCCAGUAGUC
rnacentral:rRNA from 1 species